rnacentral:tRNA from 1 species
GCCACCAUAGCUCAGAGGUAGAGCACUCGUUUCAUAAGCGAGUUGUCAGAGGUUCGAAUCCUCUUGGUGGCA